GGUAGCCUGUUUUCCCCAUAUUUUUGGAUGUGGGUGUUUAAUUUCUGUUUAGUGUCUGUUCACCUGGCAGAACUGUUUCGUUUUCGCGUCAUUGUUAUUUUGUGUAGUGUUCAGUUCUUCAAUUAAAAUAUGACGAACACUAACCAUGCUGCAUUUUGGUCCUAAUCUCCUUCCACCAAUGAGAAUCAUUACAGGAGAUUUCAUGACCCCAAACUUCUGAAGGGUGGUGUCUGUGUGUGGAUAUUCCUGGAAGGUACGGCUUGUUUCAAGUGCAGACCUGUAAGGGCCCAGUUCCAUGUGAAGGCUGGGGCUUUGGAGAACAUGAUCAGAUAGAAGAGACAUCAUCCACAAUUUUGAGCAGUGCACAAGCUCCAAGAUGCUAACUGGGGCUGGAGGGAGUGUUAUCCAGUUGACCACAAAGAAGUCUCCCUCAAUCUUCCAGCCAUGGCCCAUUGGUGAAGAUGUCUGGCUGGCUUUGCAGGCUUCUACUGUAGGCUUCUCCUGCUUGCUAGUUUGUCCAUUGGAUGUGUUUAUGCGAGGAGUCUUUGUUUGGUUGUAGUCUUCUGUCUGAGCAUAAGGAAGUGGAUGGCUGCAAACUUUCUACUUUUAAACUCGGACAAAACAGAGAUUCUUGUUCUAGGUCCCAAGAAACAAAGAGAUCUUCUGUUGAAUCUGACAAUUAAUUUUAAUGGUUGUACAGUCAUCUCAAAUAAAACUGUGAAGGACCUCUGCGUUACUCUGGACCCUGAUCUCUCUUUUGACAAACAUAUCAAGACUGUUUCAAGGACAGCUUUUUUCCAUCUACGUAACAUUGCAAAAAUCAGAAACUUUCUGUCCAAAAAUGAUGCAGAAAAAUUAAUCCAUGCUUUUGUUACUUCUAGGUUAAACUACUGCAAUGCUCUACUUUCCGGCUACAUGGAUAAAGCACUAAAUAAACUUCAGUUAGUGCUAAAUACGGCUGCUAGAAUCCUGACUAGAACUGGCUUACUGGUGCUCUUUCAUGCCGUCCCUAGGAGGGGUGCGUCACUUGAGUGGGUUGAGUCACUGAUGUGAUCUUCCUGUCUGGGUUGGAGCCCCCCCCUUGGGUUGUGCCGUGGCGGAGAUCUUUGUGGGCUAUACUCGGCCUUGUCUCAGGAUGGACCUGACCCCUAGGACCAUGCCUCAGGACUACCUGGCAUGAUGACUCCUUGCUGUCCCCAGUCCCACCUGGCUGUGCUGCUGCUCCAGUUUCAACUGUUCUGCCUGUGAUUAUUAUUAUUUGACCAUGCUGGUCAUUUUUGAACAUCUUGGCCAUGUUCUGUUAUAAUCUCCACCCAGUACAGCUAGAAGAGGACUGGCCACCCCACAUAGCCUGGUUCCUCUAGGUUUUUUCCUAGGUUUUGGCCUUUCUAGGGAGUUUUUACUAGCCACCGUGCUUCUACAUCUGCAUUGCUUGCUGUUUGGGGUUUUCGGCUGGGUUUCUGUACAGCACUUUGAGAUAUCAGGGCUAUAUUAAUAGAUUUGAUUUGAUUUGAGCGCUUUCUGUUCCUGAACAUCUGAACAACUUUCUUGAACACGUGAAAGCUUCUAUGGAUUAUAGGUCUGGUGGCUGUUGGAAAGCUGUUCCCAACUGUAUGAAGGUAGAGCAAUGUUCAUGGCCAGAGUUGUGUAUUUGCUGCCUUCACUUUGCCAAUGCCCUGCAGAGUGCUAGAGCGCUCACUGUGUCACAGCCGGAGAAGCAGUGGAGAUCGAUCAGAGCAUUAUAGACUUCUUCUUCCAGGUGGUCGUUUGUCCUUUGGACAUGUAUAGUGCGUGUGUUAUCCCCUUUCCCUGUGUGAAGUACAGGUUUUCUCCAACCUUGCAAACAUUGACUGCCAGUACAAACACAUCAGUGUCAGGACUCUUGAUCACUACAUGUGUGCUGUACUGUGAUGCAUGCUCACAAUCCAGUAAUAGCCAAGUGACGGCCUCCUGUUGUAUUGUGAACAGUGCUGGCAGUGGUAAAACCACAAGAUCUGUGCCGCUGCUGUUCAUUCUGAGCGCAUGGCACUCAGAUCCAUGUCCAUCUAUUAGGGUAAUGUCCUCAAUCAGAUCUUUCCUGGUCUUGGAUCAUGUCACAAAGACAAACUGUUGCAGACAUUCUUUGUUAUCGCAACACAACAAGAAUUUGGACCAUUGUUUGGGGGUUUUCUGGUCUUCCAAAUAUAUUUUAGUCACCUGACACCCUUUUGUUGCUCAACGACUUCCUUCAGCGUUCCUGAUGCCCAUUGUUUUGUAUGUGUCUGGGACAAAAUGCACCACUUUAGAUCAGCUGGCUUUGUCUGUAGUUAUCAGGAACUUUAGUGCCCUGUUGGCAAACAUCCCAAAUGUAUCUUGCUGUUUCAUAAUUUGAACAAGUGUAGUUGCAUCCCACACCCAGGUUGAGCCAUCAGGGAUGCUUUCAACUGUGGCUGGUGGGUUUACUGAUCCCUUUAGAAAGUACAUGAACUUUGCUUUAUCGGUUUUCACGAGGGAGCCAUGCAUGUUGAUAAUUGCUGCAGGCAAGGGCCCCAGACUAUUAGAUGAGCAUUUCACUGUUGAUCUUUCUCACUGUGCCUACCACAAUGAGCCUUGCAAAAAGAUAUUGAGGAACAGUGCCCGGGAAGAACAGUGCCUGAGACCAUUCAAUAAACCGAUCAGCUAAGCUGAUCCUGUCAUGUGUCGAACAGCCAUGGCUAAUGAGGAAUGCUUGGGCAUGAGCCAUCUCCCUUUCAUUGUGCGGUUCAUAAAAUCCUGGCAAGUUGUAUACAAUCUUCUGACUCUCCUCCUCUAACAUUCACACGUGCAUUGUCAGUAGAGGGGUCUAUUUUCAUGCCUGUUGUCCAGGAAAUGAAAUUGAAAAGCUCAUUUGGGACCAGAUUUGAGGCAGAGAGAGAGAGAGAUGAGGACUGUCAGUUCUUGUAGUAAUGCUGCCACAGAUGUAUAAUGCUAAUUUAGUCAUUGAGCGCUUAGUCGGCAAUGUUUUUUUUAACUUAGAAACUAGUCAAAGUAAGGAAUAUAAUAGCUAUUGAAUAUCUUCAUUCGUUCUUUGUUCAUAAUAAAAUAAGAUGAGCAAUUUACACUGCAGGAUGAAGACAUUACCGAACAUAUUUUUUAUAAAGUGCAACUGUAAAAAAAGGAAUCUGCCUCUUGUACAAUACAACAGUAACACAUGCAAAUGUUUAAAAAAAUAUUGCUUUCUUUUUCCAUGAUGUAGUGAACUAGAGUUCUGAUUGGAUCAUCGAAUAGUGGUGGCAUUUAGCAGUACCGGGAUUUUGCCUGACCAGACAGGUAAGAUAUGUUUUUAGAUAAAUGUGCACAAACUAGAGGUGCCGACAUAUUUUACAAGUCUUGUAGAAAUUAUUUAAUGUCAUAUACAAAAAAUCAGAUGAUUGUGAGAUGAUUGUGGACUUCAGGAAACAGCAGAGGGAACACCCCCCUAUCCACAUCGAUGGAACAGUAGUGGAGAGGGUAGCAAGUUUUAAGUUCCUCGGCAUACACAUCACAGACAAACUGAAUUGGUCCACUCACACUGACAGCGUCGUGAAGAAGGCGCAGCAGCGCCUCUUCAACCUCAGGAGGCUGAAGAAAUUUGGCUUGUCACCAAAAGCACUCAAACUUCUACAGAUGCACAAUCGAGAGCAUCCUGGCGGGCUGUAUCACCGCCUGGUACGGCAACUGCUCCGCCCUCAACCGUAAGGCUAUCCAGAGGGUAGUGAGGUCUGCACAACGCAUCACCGGGGGCAAACUACCUGCCCUCCAGGACACCUACACCACCCGAUGUUACAGGAAGGCCAUAAAGAUCAUCAAGGACAUCAACGACCCGAACCACUGCCUGUUCACCCCGCUAUCAUCCAGAAGGCGAGGUCAGUACAGGUGCAUCAAAGCUGGGACCGAGAGACUGAAAAACAGCUUCUAUCUCAAGGCCAUCGGACUGUUAAACAGCCACCACUAACAUUGAGUGGCUGCUGCCAACACACUGUCAUUGACACUGACCCAACUCCAGCCACUUUAAUAAUGGGAAUGGAUGGGAAAUGAUAUAAAUAUAACACUAGCCACUUUAAACAAUGCUACCUUAUAUAAUGUUACUUACCCUACAUUAUUAAUCUCAUAUGCAUACGUAUAUACUGUACUCUACAUCAUCGACUGCAUCCUUAUGUAAUACAUGUAUCACUAGCCACUUUAACUAUGCCACUUUGUUUACUUUGUCUACAUACUCAUCUCAUAUGUAUAUACUGUACUCGAUACCAUCUACUGUAUGCUGCUCUGUACCAUCACUCAUUCAUAUAUCCUUAUGUACAUAUUCUUUAUCCCCUUACACUGUGUAUAAGACAGUAGUUUUGGAAUUGUUAGUUAGAUUACUUGUUGGUUAUCACUGCAUUGUCGGAACUAGAAGCACAAGCAUUUCGCUACACUCGCAUUAACAUCUGCUAACCAUGUGUAUGUGACAAAUAAAAUGUGAUUUUUUUAUUUAUUUUGAGAUCCUCUCUCCACAGAUCGAUCGACUUCACUUAUUUUGGCCUCGACCCACCACUGAACUCCUCCAUUGUGAAAAAAUAUAUUUUGGAAGCUAUAGAAGAUAUUUAUUAAUGUCUACAUUCGUUUUUGACAGGUCUAUUUUAUUUCAGACACCUAACUACAUGAUUUUACAUUAUGUUAAGUGAACUGAACAUAAAAAAACAUAUACAAAAAUAUUCCUUAAAGUUUUUUUUAAGUCUACAAGAAAUAAAUACUUAAAUACAUUUUGCUGAACUACUGUAGAAUUCCAUUCAUUCCUAUGGAGGAUUGCUCUUUCUGUGGAGUACAAAUAUGGCCUCCAGUGGCUUCAAAGCCUCGCAUUGGCCAGUACAUAGCAUCAGCAAUCCAGGGUUUAUACACAUCGUUGGGUGAAAUCCACAUAGAUGACAUCAAAAUCAAUGACUCAAGGUAAUGAAUUUCAAGUAAGUAUUCUUUUCUUUUGUAUCACGAAAGAUAACAUUGCAUUGGAUUUUUAAAGAAGGUAAGAUUUCAGAUCUA